UACGUAGGGUGCAAGCGUUAUCCGGAAUUAUUGGGCGUAAAGAGCUCGUAGGCGGCUAGGUAAGUCUGCUCUGAAAGCCCGGGGCUCAACCCCGGGAGGCGGGUGGAUACUGUCUAGCUCGAGUCCGGAAGAGGAGUGUGGAAUUCCUGGUGUAGCGGUGAAAUGCGCAGAUAUCAGGAGGAACACCAAUGGCGAAGGCAGCACUCUGGGACGUGACUGACGCUGAGACGCGAAAGCGUGGGGAGCAAACAGG
rnacentral:rRNA from 1 species